UACGUAGGGUGCGAGCGUUAAUCGGAAUUACUGGGCGUAAAGCGUGCGCAGGCGGUUCGUUGUGUCGGCGGUGAAAGCCCCGGGCUCAACCUGGGAAUGGCCGUUGAAACUGGCGAACUGGAGUGUGGCAGAGGGGGGUGGAAUUCCGGGUGUAGUGGUGAAAUGCGUAGAGAUCCGGAGGAACACCCGUGGCGAAGGCGGCCCCCUGGGCCGCGCCUGACGCUGAGACGCGAAAGCGCGGGGAGCGAACGGG
rnacentral:rRNA from 1 species